GGGGCUGUACUGGUUUCGACGUGGGUUGGAAUCGUGUCGGUGCAUGCCGAGCUGAAUGCGCUCGUAAAACAGAUUCAAACAAACUAACUGCAAACGACGAACGUUUCGCACUCGCUGCUUAAACACCAGUGAGCCUUACAACAGCAGGCCGAUGGGCUGGGCAAGGGUGACCUGAUCGCAAGACCAGGUUGUCCAGGCUGUAAGGUUAUUCACAUCGGCUGGUUCUGACCCGGGUACCUUGGGUUGGAACGAGACAAUAGGGUGCUGGCGUCCAGGGUAGCGUGCGACUGCGCGACCGUGGUGGCGAGACUCAAAUCAGACCGCUAAGCAUGUAGAUCUGUACGAGGAAGGUUUGCGGACGCGGGUUCAAAUCCCGCCAGCUCCACCA
rnacentral:tmRNA from 1 species